rnacentral:rRNA from 1 species
UUCUACGGCCAUGCCACCCUGAACAUGCCCAAUCUCGUCUGAUCUCGGAAGCUAAGCAGGGUUGGGCCUGUUUAGUACUUGAAUGGCAGACCACCUAUGAAUACCUUGUGCUGUACGCA